rnacentral:rRNA from 1 species
GAUGAACGCUGGCGGCGUGCCUAAUACAUGCAAGUCGAGCGAACAGAUGAGGAGCUUGCUCCUCUGACGUUAGCGGCGGACGGGUGAGUAACACGUGUAUAACCUACCUAUAAGACUGGGAUAACUUCGGGAAACCGGAGCUAAUACCGGAUAAUAUAUUGAACCGCAUGGUUCAAUAGUGAAAGACGGUUUUGCUGUCACUUAUAGAUGGAUCCGCGCCGCAUUAGCUAGUUUGUAAGGUAACCGCUUACCAAGGCAACGAUGCGUAGCCGACCUGCGAGGGUGAUCGGCCACACUGGAACUUAGACACGGUCCAGGCUCCUGAGGGAGGCAGCAGAAGGGAAUCUUCCGCAGUGGGCGAAAGCCUGACGGAGCAACGGCACGUGAGUGAUGGAGGUCUUCGGAUCGUAAAACUCUGUUAUUAGGGAAGAACAAAUGUGUAAGUAACUAUGCACGUCUUGACGGUAACUAAUCGGAAAGCCACGGCUAACUACGUG